CGUGAAGGCGGCCAACUAAGUCAGACGUGAAAUCCCUAGGCUCAACCUAGGAACUGCGUCUGAUACUGGAUGGCUUGAAUUCGGGAGAGGGAUGCAGAAUUCCAGGUGUAGCGGUGAAAUGCGUAGAUAUCUGGAGGAAUACCGGUGGCGAAGGCGGCAUCCUGGACCGACAUUGACGCUGUAGCGCGAAAGCUAGGGGAGCAAACG
rnacentral:rRNA from 1 species